UCUCAAAACCCUAGAUUAGAAGUUUAGCUACACAUAAUCUCUUUCACAAUCAUAACGAUAGAAUUCAUCCUCAAUGGAAAAAAAACAAGAAGAAGAAAGGUAAAAAUUGUAUGCUGAAUCUUCCCCCUUGCUUCUUGCUUAUUCUUUCCUUCAAAAACAUUUCACAAACCUCGAUAUCCUUUAUUUGGGAGAGCUGGGCUUCUUAUAGGUCAAGAAGAGUCAUCCUAGAAAUUACACAGUUGAAUUUGAAAUAUUUGGCUCCAAGCACCCGUCCGCGGCCAUAGAUGGACCGCGGAUUGAUCGCGAAUUUGACAAAAUUUAUGUUUGUGGCUUUGAAUUGACUGCGGAUCUGGUGCACGGUUUGGUCCUUGCUUUUUCUUCUCCUUUUCGAUCGUGUUAUCCUCCGGUUGGCCUUCCAUACUCCAUAUUGACUCCAAAACACUCUUUUAGCUUCCUCCUAGCUCGGAAUGGCUCUAGCAAAGCAAUAAACUCAUAACUAGAGCAUUUUGUUAUCUUUUACGAUCAAACAUAGUAAAGUGCGGCCAAAUUAGAGUGUAAUAUAAGCUAACUUGCAUGAUUAUCAUCUAUUAUCAACACCUCAUACUUAAACUCUUGCUCGUCCUCGAGCAACAAAACCAAACUUUACAAUGGCCUAACUUUACUGAGCGACUCCCCUAACUUGUCACACCAAGAACAUUUCACAAGAAAUGAACCCAGUAGUGUAACAUCUUCACCUGAAGAGUUGACUCUCCUCCAUCACGCAAUAUUCCUAACUUUACUCACUUACUCUAGCGCAGAGGUUAAGACUCACCUUUCCUUCAUGAAUCAAGUUCCCUUUCAUAACAAAUAAGAGUGGUCCCACACACAAUAAUAUUUAAGAACAAUUAGGAACUCAAGAUAGAAGAAUCCACUCACUCUCAAAAAGAACAUUCAUAUGCCACAAAAAAUUCACUAUAGGCUUUCACGUAGUGUACUACUCCACUAAUCGAGCUCAUUCAGUCGAGGAUCAAUUAGGACUUCAUUUGGUUGUAAUGUAGGUUGAGGGACGGGUAGGAUACAUUUGGAUAUAAGAGUGACUACACCUCCCUAAUAACUUUAAUACAUACACUUUCACAUUUAAAACCCCAUACCUAUGUCAAACUAUAACUCCACCUUCACAUCACUAUAUAUUAACUCCAUUCUUCUUUAAGCACAAUUACAUCAAGGGCCACCCCUUAUCAAAGAUUUUUUUCUUCACAACAAUACACUAAUUUUUCUUUUUCUCUUAGUUCAAUUGGCUCUUUCUUGUUCAAAACAGUGCACCUUUCUCCUUAUUUCAUUAGUUCAAAAGCCAAACCAACCACCCCACACAUUAACUAUUACAAAGCUCAUAAUGAUUCAAGUGCUCAUGAGAGGUAAAAGGUUCAAAUAUAUGAUUAAUUCAAAGAAAUGGGUAAGGCUUGUAAUGUGGUUGUCAAAGAAACAUGAUUACAGGCUCAAAUGGCUUAACUAAGAUACAUAACAAUUAGGCCGGUAAAAUAUAUAUAGCUUGAUAAACAAAGAAACGCCUAUAUCAUUUCCAUGACUGAAAAAACUACUAUUUCACUUUGCAAACACACAGGGCAAGUUCUAGGCAUCCAAUGCAGUGCACAAAAUACAAAAAUCCUCACACACGCAUGGAACAUGACUCACUCCAUAUUGGAUCAUCGAAACGCUCUAGUUAGAGUACUUAAGCCAAAUUAAGAACAUAUAAUUUAAGGCACUCUAAUAAGAAUCAACAACUAAGACUAAGCGCCAUACAAAAGAAUCUACUGUAUUCAAGGCAUAAUGACGAUAAGGGAUCCUCCUUCCAUAUCAGCCCUUAGACCACAAGUACCAAAUUAAAAAAAACUAACUCAGUUCAAACAAAAACCCUUGGAAAAGAAUCAAGGUCUAAAGAAAAACCAGGGGUAAUUGAUACAUUAUCUACAAACGAAAAUCUUUUUUCUUUUUUUAAUAUCGACUUAGACCAUUAAGAAACCCAUUGAGUGAUAUCUAUCGUCGGAACAAGCCAAAAUAUGGGGUUUUUCACACAUUCACACAUUUAGACUUCUAACCAAAAACCAAAUCAAACUAGCUAAACAUUACAAUCAAAUUAACUAAAGAUCAACGAGAAUCAAGUUGCAUUCCUAUGUAUACACAACAUACCAAUGAAGUAACCCCCGCUCCACACUUAAAAAGAUGUCAUGUCCUCAUAUCAUAAAAUAGAAAGUAAUGCGAGGCAAAGGAACCUCCCUGGAAGAUCAUUCUUGAUAAGAGACUGUAUCUCCCUAGCGCAUGCAACAACCCAUGAUUUUCUUCUCUGAUUUAGCCUUUUGGGUGGCCAAAGCAUCUAACCUAGUCCCCAAGUAUGUGAGAGUAGUAAGCAGCCCCGCUAUUUCCUCCUCUAAGGGUGCCAGCUGUGUAACCCGACCAACCCCGCAGCCCUUCGGCUUCCGCAACAUGCACAUGGAAGGGAAACUCAGCCCCCAUUUCAUCCUGCUCAUCAUCUCCCUCCUCGGAUUCCUCAGAAUCAUCAUUAUUAGUUGAAUUGGCUGCCACCAUCUCUUUCCCAAUUGUCACAUUGGAAUCCCAGAAUAUUGUUUCUUUCUUCACCUUGCCGUCUACAUGGGGGUUCUCUGAUACCCCUAUAGCCCAACUCAAUCGAGUGACCAGAGAUGGGAAGAAGAACACAUACCUCCUCAAUGUUGAACGGAUGAACAUCUUCGAGUGAAUAACCCGGGCCACAUCAAAUUCGUGGUCAUUCAUGAAGCACCAGAUCAAAGCAGGUCAUGGUUCAUUGACAUUAGUCGUGUCGUGGGAUGGCAUCAGUUGAGUGUUGAUGAUAUAAAACCAACACUUACCUUCAAAGGUGAGUGAGAAGGAGUGUAGCUUCAAUCCAUGAUUAACCCACACUACCUCAUUGUCUGGUUUUUAAAUAGUUUGGAAAAAUAAUUGCCAAUUUAGGUUCUCGCUUAUAAGUGUCAUAGUAAUCCAUCUCCCUAAUAAAUGCAGGCAAGUGAUACACUCUCCUGAUAGUUUCAAUCAGGGCAUUCACCAUCUUUUGUCGCACAAUGAAAAUGUGAUCCUUAUGUUAGAAACAGUUGGCAUAGAAUUCCCUAACAAGCUAUAAGUUACUAUCCUCCGACUUCUCGAAAAAGAUGUUGAGCUUGCGCCUAGUCAGCUCCCUAUACAUAUUGGGGCAUUCAGCCUGGAGGGAACCCAUUUCAACUCUUUAUUUUGGUACCGGCUUUCUAAUACCCUUUUCAACAAAAUGGUCUUGGGCAGCUCUGGAGACAAUCUGAAUGCUACCAAACUACCCUGAACUGGUGAUGCCCGUGUCCGGGAUGAACCAUCGGUACGGUGUCUCUUCUUUGAAGAUCUCAUUGUACCUACGUAACAACUACUAUUAUCAAGAAUCAGUGAAAUAGGUGACCCAAGAGUGGUUACUCAGACUUCACGUGUCCCUGGGUCACAAUUGAUACUGCAAAGUUCAUUGGGGCAAUUCAACAAACACCUCAUGUGAAAAUAUCCCCAAUGUACCAAAGGACCCAAUUAAACCCUCAUUCAUCACAACUCAACAAUGUUUUUCUAACCCAACCAACCUAAUGUCUUCACAUAUCAACAAUUAUACCAACAAAUACACAUAAAUAAGAGUACCUAGAUUUUUACUUUCUUACAACUGCAAUAGAAGAGACAAAGAAUGAAACCAAAAUCGAAAAGAACAAAACAAAAGAAACUAAAAGAAAAGAGUAGAAUCAUGUACUUACUUGAGAACCUUGUAAUUAUCGGAGAUGGAAGAGUGGGUGAGUAGAGAUUAGGCAUAAGAUAAAGGAAUUUGGUGAAGCAAGGGGAGGGGAAAGCAUUAGAAAUUAGGAAAGAUGGAGGGUUUUAUUUUUGUUUUUUAUUCUGUUUUUUAUGGUUAAGGGGAAGGGGUAAAAGAGAAGGGGGAUCCAGUUUGGGGGGGUUUAAUUAAAGAAGAAAACUAAGUAAAGGGGUAGGGGAAAUAAAAAAUAAAAAAUUUUGAUACCUGACGUCGCCAGGUCCAUGGCAGUGGACAGAACAAUGCAGAAUCCGAGGUUUAUCUGCGUCUGCGGAUUAAGUGUCCCAUUUUUUUUAUGUUUAUGUAUACCUCCGGGAUACUUACGUAACCCCGAAGAAUACAAAAAAUCAAUAGGUUGCCUCCCAUGAAUCUCUUAAUUUAACUUCGCGGCGCGACGUAGAUAAGCGUAUUUAAAGUACGAUCAACUGUGGAGGAUCGAUCAAAUGGAUCACUAGCACUUUCUUUGCUUCCUCCAUUAACAUAUGCCCAUUGACUUUAAAUGUGCGUAUUUCAAGCACACAGAAAGGCCCUGAACAUCGUGACUUCAAUUUGCCCGGAAAAAACCUCAGACGUUAGUUGUAUAGCAAUACUAUAUCUCCAAGUUUAAAAUUACGCUCAAUAAUAUUCCUAUCAUGUAUCAUAUUCAUUCUCUCCUUGUAUAAUCUGGUGCUCUCAAAAGUGUGAUAUCUAAACUCAUCAAGCUCGCGCAACUUCGUUACUCUACUUGUUCCUGCAGCUUCACUAUCAAGAUUCAACUAUCUCAAUGCCAUCCAAGCUCUAUGCUCCAACUAUACUGGUAAAUGACACGCCUUCCCAAACACCACCUUGUUUGGCGACAUACCAAUUGGAGUUUAGAAAGCGGUUUGAUACACCCAAAGUGCAUCAUCUAACUUCCUUUCCCAAUCUGUCCUGGUUGCAUUCACAGUUUUUGUAGCACACUCUUUUUUUCUCUAUUCGAAACUUUCUCUUGCCUGCUUGUUUGUAGAUGAUAUGUGGUGGACACCUUGUGACUUAUAUCAUACUUCUCCAACAACUUUGUAAAGGCUCGAUUGCAAAAAUGAGUGCCUCUAUCACGGAUUAUUGCCCUUGGGGUGACAAAUCGGGUAAAAAUGUUCUUUCCCAGAAAACCAGUUACCCCCUUUGCAUCAUUUGUAGGGAGUGUUGCAGCUUCUACCCAUUUGGACACGUAGUCCAUAAGGACGAAUAUGUACUUGUUGCCAUAUGAGCUAACGAGCGUCCUCAUGAAGUCGAUCCCCCUUACAUCAAACAUUUCUACCUCAUGAAUUAGGUUCAUCUGCAUCUCAUGUCUAUGGGAAACGUUCCCGGUUUGUUGGCAUUCAUCACGCCCCUUUAUCUAUAGAUGUUCAUCUUUGAACAAUGUUGGCUAGUAGAACCCCAAAUCCAAUACUUUUGCAGCUGUCCUCACUCCCUCAAAGUUAUGGUGAUGCGUAACAAGCCUGCAAAAUGAAAGAUUGGUCUAUCUCGGGGAUACAUAUCUGAAUUAUGUUAUCAACACAAAUCCUGAACAGAUAAGGCUCAUCCCAAUAAUACAUGCAACAAUCACGAAAAAACUUUUUCUUUUGAACAGAGGAAAGGUCAUAAGGAAAAAUACUGCUUGCCAGGUAGUUUACAAUGUCUAUAUACCAUGGUGCUUCCUCGAUCUCGUGGCUAAAAGUUGUUCAUCUGGAAAAGUUUCCAGAAUCUCUUCUACCUCAACUUUCUUUUCAGCUCCUUCUAGCCGGGAUAAAUGGUCAGCUAAUUGGUUCUUCGUUCCCUUUUGGUCAUGGAUCUCCAAAUCAAAUUCUUGCAGCAGUAGUACCCAACAAAUCAUGCGUGGUUUUGACUUCUUUUUUUCAAUUAAGUACUUGAGAGAAGCAUGGUCAGUAUAAAAAAUUACCUUUAAGUCUAACAGGUAAGACCUGAACUUGUCAAAUGCGAACACUACUACCAGCAAAUUCUUCUCGGUCACAAUGUAAUUUAGCUAGGAUCAACUCAACAUUCUACUUGUAUAGGGUAUUAGAUGCAUAAUUUUAUCUUUUCUCUACCUAAGAAUAGAUCCCACAGCAUAGUCACUAUCAUCACACAUCGGCUCAAAUGGUUUCUCCCAGUUGGGGGCAACUAUGAUAGGUGUUGUUACCAGUCUCUUCUUCAAUUCCUCAAAAGCUACCAUGCAGUCAUCAGAAAACACAAAAGGGUGAUCUUUUUCAAGCAAUUUACAUAAAUGGUUAGUAAUUUUGGAAAAAUCUUUUAAUAAACCUCCUAUAGAAAUCAACGUGCCCAAGAACCUUCUGAUUGCUUUGAUGGAGGUGGGUAGUGGAAGCUUUUCUAUCACAUCAACUUUUGCACUAUCCACAUCAAUACCUUUUCUUGACUUUAGGUUCCCCAAGACUAUACCUUCAUGUAACAUGAAAUGGCGCUUUUCCCGGUUAAGUACCAGAUUAGUCUUGAUACACCUUUUAAAACUCGUCUUAAGUUCACAAGGAAAUCAUCGAAUGAAUACCCCAUCCCUAAGAAGUCAUCCAUGAAAACCUCAAUUAUCGCCUCUACCAUAUCUAUGAAGAUGGACAUCAUGCUCCUUUGGAAUGUGGUAGGUGUGUUGCAUAGGCCAAAGGGAAUUCACCGAAAAGCAGAUAUUCCAUAAGGACAGGUGAAUGAUGUUUUCUCUCUAUCCUCUGGGACAAAGGAAAUUUGAUUAUACCCUUAGUGCCCAUCCAGGGAGCAAAAGUGAGACCUCUCUGCCAGCCUAUCUAGCAUCUGAUCAAUGAAUAGCAGUGCGAAAUUGUCCUUCCUAUAGCCAAGUUCAACUUCUUAUAAUCCAUAUAGAUUCUCCAACCUGUGAAUGUUCGUAUAGAGAUCAACUCAUUCUUCUCGUUUUUCACUAUCAUCAUACCUUUCUUUACACAUUGCAAUAGGCUAACCCAGUUGCUUCUAGAGAUGGGGAAUAUGAUUACCACAUCUAACCAUUCAAUCACUUCCCUUUUUACCAAUUCUAUCAUGUUGGGGUUUAGUCUUCUGUGAUGUGCUUUCGAAGGUUUAUGCCCAUCUUCCAGCAUAAUCUUAUGCAUAUAGAAGACUAGUCUAAUCCCCUUAAUUUCUACAAUGGUCCACCCAAUUGCAGUUUUGCACUCAGUUAGUACCUGCAAAAGCUGUUCUACCUGCACAUCUAACAAACUCGAUGAGAUAACAAUAGGUAGAGUUGAGUUAGGUCCUAAGAAUGCAUACUUGAGAUAAGAGGGGAGUGGAUUCAGUUCCGACUUUGGUGGCUCUUCUAUUGACGACAUAAUUGGAGGAGUUUUCCUUUCCUCCAAGUGCAAAGGCUCAAAUUCAAGCUCCCUUUUUCCAAAAACCUUGGCCUUCAAGAGCCAGUACCCACUCUACCAAGUCUUCACCGUUAGCUUCGUCUAAUUCAUUAGACAAGCUGCUAUGGGGUCUUUAACGUUCAAUGAUUCAUCGUCCUCCUCCAACCCUAUAUCCCUGGAUCUGUUACAAAGCAAUUGGACUAUUCACUAGGUCUGCGCAUAGAGUUCUGCAUGUUGAAUGUUAUCUCUUCAUCAUUUAAUCUCAUUUUGAGCUCUCCCAGUGGCAAAGAAUGGUCUUUCAAAAAUUGUGGGAAUUUCCUCGUCAACCCGAUAGUCAAAGAUGAAAAUAUCUGAUGGGAAUACAAACUUCCCAACCUGCACCAAUACAUCAUCUAGAAUCCCAAAGGGCCUCUUCACUAUUAGGUCAAUCAGCUGUAAUAGCAUAGACGUGGGUCUACUUUUCCCAAUGCCUAGGGGCAUAAGAUUUAUGAUUGCUCCCAGAUCAUACUGUGCCUUAGCAAAAACAAAGUAUCCUAUUGUGCAGGGGAUUGUAAAACUCUCUGGAUCAAAUAGCUUCUCGGCUAUAGGUAUCGUCACAACAGCACUGCAAGUUUGAGUCAUGUAACCGUGGCCAAGUCUUAAACGUCGAACUUGCGGGACAUCAAGUCCUUCAUCAUCUUUGCAUACCAAGUGUCACGCCUCCUUUUUACCACCCGAAAGGGAGAUAUAAGGGAGUUUUUUCAAUUAAAGUGACAUUAUUCAAAAUGUGAAUAUUUUAAUUGGUGUGUCAAGUCAUUGGUUUAUUUUAAACUCACAAAUCGAGGAAAUUUCGGCUUAUUUUAAAAGUCUGCCAACCAGAAAUUCUAAGUAAGAAAUUAUGUUAAGCCGGAAGAAGGUGUUAGGUAUUUCCGGGUUCUAUGGUUCGAGCACGAUCGCUUAAACUAUUAAUUAUUAGCCUAUUAGCUAAUUUACUACACAUUUUAAACCUAUUGUGUAUUUUUAACUUUAUAACCGCUUUUAUUUAUUUAUGAAUUAUUCUGGAAUAAGUUACGAUUGUCGUACACUUAUUUUUUUUUGUACAUAUUAUGAAUCGUGUCACAAGAACCGUACCCACGAUCUACAACGUGUUUAAUUUUAUUAAAGGUUCGAAGCUGUAGUCAAGUCACAUGAAAUGUGCAUCCGAUUUUAAAAAUACGUAUCACGACCAUGCUACGGGAACCGUACCUAUAAACUGUGAUGAUUUAAUUAAGCGCCUAAAACAAACUAUGAUAUUCAUAAGAGAUUGUUCUGAGGUCAUGAAUUAUCGAUGAAUUUAUUUCAUGAAGAAAGUGUUUUUGAGGAGUUAAAGUGACUAACCACUUAUAGAAAUGAGCCAAAAUUAUUGAGUUCUUGGCCAGUAACUAACAUAUAAAUUAAGUAAAGGCUCGCAAGAUUCAAAUUGAACCCACGUAGUUGUUAUAUCUAAAAUGUCAACUGGCAGCCCAUUUAGUUCCAAACCAAGUAGCCCACCCAAAGUUGGAUGAUUUACUAUCUUAAAAUCCAUUUGCACAAAAUUGUGGCCUGAAUCCUUUUACCGAAACUACCAAUUACUACCGUUGCCUAAUAAACAUUAAACCCCAAAUUUAAUAUUCUUAAUAGUCCCUCCCCCAUACUGCCCAUUUCACAGAUGAACCAUUAUUCUAAAAACUCAUGACUGAUUCAAAUUUAAUUACCAUCACUUGAUCUCCAUCGUUAAUCAAAGAAAGAUAGCAACUAAAUCAAACUUAAGAAAUGAUGGUGAAAUAAACAAAUCAAGGCAGCAUGAUGACCACACGGGACUGACCAAACAGACCAACACAUUAAGAGUAAUGGAACAUUGAAUUGAAAAGAAAAAAUGACUAAAGCAAAAAAAACAAUACAGAAAUAGGAACUGGCCAUUUUAUGAGAGAACUUCAACUAAUUUUAAUUAAAAUUCCAACAGUGUAUAACAAAUAAUCUGCUCCGAUUGAAUUAUGACCAAAAUUUGGAUCCGUACCUCGCUAGGAACCCGUCCGGCAAUGGCUUUAUAAGUCAAUUGCACCCUUUUCUAGUAUGGCGUCAAUAGAUUCUCCCAACACCUCUUGCUGACCUUGCAGCAUAAGAUAUUAGCGAUUCUUUUCGUUUUUUAAAUCCAAUUAUCUUGGAGUGGUCUGUCGCUGCUUGUUCUCUUUUUAUGUCAAUGAAAUACUUCUAAAGAAGAAGUUAAAAAUCAGCAAAAAGGGGAUGGGGGGAGGCGUUAGCUUCUGGAGUUCAAUUACAGAAGCCUCUUGGCCUUUUUCUUAGGUCCUCCUUUUCAUCUUUAUGUCUGUGUGUGUGUAUCCCUCUCCACCUACUCUUCAACCAAGGGACUAUUUUCUUUAUGAUACAGAAGUGAUGAUUUUCAUAUGAUUGAGGGAAAGAAGAAUGGAUAUGACCAGAGAGAAUGUGUGCGUUUUUUGGAGUGGAAAACGACUGGAUUUUUGUGCUUCUUUCUUUUUGGUAUAGAUCUGCCGUUCUUUGUUUACU
rnacentral:lncRNA from 1 species